CGGGGGUUUAUCGAUGUACGCUAGCGGGAGGCCUAACACAUGCAAGCCGAGCGGUAGAGUGUCUUCGGAUACUUGAGAGCGGCGUACGGGUGCGGAACACGUGUGCAACCUGCCUUUAUCUGAGGGAUAGCCUUUCGAAAGGAAGAUUAAUACCUCAUAAUAUACUGAUUGGCAUCAAUUAGUAUUGAAAGCUCCGGCGGAUAGAGAUGGGCACGCGCAAGAUUAGAUAGUUGGUGAGGUAACGGCUCACCAAGUCAAUGAUCUUUAGGGGGCCUGAGAGGGUGAUCCCCCACACUGGUACUGAGACACGGACCAGACUCCUACGGGAGGCAGCAGUGAGGAAUAUUGGACAAUGGGUGCAAGCCUGAUCCAGCCAUCCCGCGUGAAGGACGACGGCCCUAUGGGUUGUAAACUUCUUUUGUACAGGGAUAAACCUACUCUCGUGAGGGUAGCUGAAGGUACUGUACGAAUAAGCACCGGCUAACUCCGUGCCAGCCGCCGCGGUAAUUA
rnacentral:rRNA from 1 species